rnacentral:rRNA from 1 species
GCAUAUCAAUAAGCGGAGGAAAAGAAACCAACAGGGAUUGCCCUAGUAACGGCGAGUGAAGCGGCAACAGCUCAAAUUUGAAAUCUGGCUUCGGCCCGAGUUGUAAUUUGUAGAGGAAGAUUUAGGCGCGGCACCUUCUGAGUCCCCUGGAACGGGGCGCCAUAGAGGGUGAGAGCCCCGUAUAGUUGGAUGCCUAGCCUGUGUAAAUCUCCUUCGACGAGUCGAGUAGUUUGGGAAUGCUGCUCAAAAUGGGAGGUAAAUUUCUUCUAAAGCUAAAUAUUGGCCAGAGACCGAUAGCGCACAAGUAGAGUGAUCGAAAGAUGAAAAGCACUUUGAAAAGAGGGUUAAAUAGCACGUGAAAUUGUUGAAAGGGAAGCGCUUGUGACCAGACUUGCGCCGGGCGGAUCAUCCGGUGUUCUCACCGGUGCACUCCGCCCGGCUCAGGCCAGCAUCGGUUCUCGUGGGGGGAUAAAGGCCCUGGGAACGUAGCUCCUCCGGGAGUGUUAUAGCCCAGGGUGUAAUGCCCUCGCGGGGACCGAGGUUCGCGCAUCUGCAAGGAUGCUGGCGUAAUGGUCAUCAGCGACCCGUCUUGAAACACGGACCAAGGAGUCAAGGUUUUGCGCGAGUGUUUGGGUGUAAAACCCGCACGCGUAAUGAAAGUGAACGUAGGUGAGAGCUUCGGCGCAUCAUCGACCGAUCCUGAUGUAUUCGGAUGGAUUUGAGUAGGAGCGUUAAGCCUUGGACCCGAAAGAUGGUGAACUAUGCUUGGAUAGGGUGAAGCCAGRGGAAACUCUGGUGGAGGCUCGCAGCGGUUCUGACGUGCAAAUCGAUCGUCAAAUCUGAGCAUGGGGGCGAAAGACUAAUCGAACCAUCUAGUAGCUGGUUACCGCCG